rnacentral:lncRNA from 1 species
CGCAUUUCACUUAAGUCAGUAAUUGCCCACUGGGAACUAUUAUUUAAUAGUUCUCACGCCCCCUGUUUUAUGGUUUUAUUUUAGAGCCUUCGGCACCGGCGGAGGCACGGGAUCGCGGCAAGGGUGUCGCCUAGCUAGAUAGCGGGGAGCUACUUGCUCUUAGGUGGUUACUCUCUUUUUUUUGUGUUUUGGAGAGUGAGAGAUUUU